UACGGGGGGGGCAAGCGUUGUUCGGAAUUACUGGGCGUAAAGGGCGCGUAGGCGGCCCUCUAAGUCAGACGUGAAAUCCCACGGCUCAACCGUGGAACUGCGUCUGAUACUGGAGGGCUUGAAUCCGGGAGAGGGAUGUGGAAUUCCAGGUGUAGCGGUGAAAUGCGUAGAUAUCAGGAGGAACACCGAUGGCGAAGGCAGCUGUCUGGCCUAACACUGACGCUGAGGUGCGAAAGCGCGGGGAGCGAACGGG
rnacentral:rRNA from 1 species